rnacentral:rRNA from 1 species
CAGUCGCCACGGUAAUACAGAGGGUGCAAGCGUUAAUCGGAAUUACUGGGCGUAAAGCGCGCGUAGGUGGUUUGUUAAGUUGGAUGUGAAAGCCCCGGGCUCAACCUGGGAACUGCAUCCAAAACUGGCAAGCUAGAGUACGGUAGAGGGUGGUGGAAUUUCCUGUGUAGCGGUGAAAUGCGUAGAUAUAGGAAGGAACACCAGUGGCGAAGGCGACCACCUGGACUGAUACUGACACUGAGGUGCGAAAGCGUGGGGAGCAAACAGGAUUAGAUACCCCUGUAGUCUGUCUCUUAUACAC